AUGCCACACGUGACCCGGCGACUCGACAUAGACACAAAAAGCCACCUCCAGCCGCUUCACUCGACGUUCGACGAAGUCACACCAAAGCACGCUCAAUGCACGACGAAGCCACGCCCAACUACAACAAUAGACGUCAGAAGAAGUGACGCCAAAGCACUUUUGGUCAGAAUCAUCAGGAAACUCGAAUAUGUUUCAUGGUUACUUGAUGUGGUGACCACAAGUUACCUGAGAAAAUUGAACAAGCGAGCUUCUGCUCAACCUAUACCAAAAUUGAUGAAGAAGGUGAAUACACAAAAGAUGUUAGAUACAAUACUUCAUCAUCAGCAAGUGUUCCCUCAUAGCCUCCUCCACUGGGAUAAACUACAACCCAUCUGCCAUGGUCCUCUAGCCGUCGGCCAUGAAGAAGUUGAGCAGUGUAGCCACCGUGUUCUCAUUGCUACUCCCCAUGGCCACUCCGCCGAACUCGACAAGGUCAUCGAGGAUCCACAUCCUUGA
rnacentral:rRNA from 1 species